rnacentral:lncRNA from 1 species
CAUGAAAAUAAUGUUAUUUUGACCAUAAGUCUGUAUUCAUAAAUGUUGUUAAGGAGUAACAUUCUAUUCAAUAAAUUGUUAAUGCUUUUCAUAAAUAAAAUAAAAUGUUAUGAUGAAAUUGCACCAUGUCGUCCAGAAUCGACAAAUAGCAAAUGUCCGGUAGUAAAUGAUGCUUCAUCAGAUGCCAGAAAUCGUAUUGCCUUUGCGACGUCUUCCGGUUUGCCCGCACCACCAAGAGGUUGUAUCACUUUCAACCGCUCGAGAUACU